rnacentral:rRNA from 1 species
CCUACGGGGGGCUGCAGUGAGGAAUAUUGGUCAAUGGGCGGAAGCCUGAACCAGCCAAGUAGCGUGCGGGAUGAAGGCCCUACGGGUCGUAAACCGCUUUUGCACGGGGAUAACACCCUCCACUUGUGGAGGUCUGCAGGUACCGUUCGAAUAAGGGCCGGCUAAUUCCGUGCCCGCAGCCGCGGUAAUCCGGAAGGCCCGAGCGUUAUCCGGAUUAAUUGGGCUUAAAGGGCGCGUAGGCGGGCGUUCAAGUCAGUGGUAAAAUCGCGCGGCUCAACCGCGCCCCGCAGUUGACACUGGAAGCCUGGAGUUCACAACAGGCAGGCGGAAUUCGUGGUGUAGCGGUGAAAUGCAUAGAUAGCACGAGGAACCCCGAUUGCGAAGGCAGCCUGCCGGGGUGCGACUGACGCUGAGGCUAGAAGGUGCGGGUAUCAAACAGGAUUAGAUACCCCUGUAGUC